AGAGUUUGAUCCUGGCUCAGGAUGAACGCUGGCGGCGUGCUUAACACAUGCAAGUCGAACGAACGACUAUUAACAGAACCUUUCGGGGCGAAGAUGAUAGAAGUUAGUGGCGGACGGGUGCGUAACGCGUGGGUAAUCUGCCUUUGUCAAAGGAAUAACUAUUCGAAAGAAUAGCUAAAACCGUAUAACAUAUUAAUAGGGCAUCCUAAUAAUAUCAAAACGAUAGUGGACAAAGAUGAGCCCGCGUCUGAUUAGCUAGUUGGUGAGAUAAAAGCCCACCAAGGCAACGAUCAGUAGCCGACCUGAGAGGGUGAACGGCCACAUUGGAACUGAGACACGGUCCAAACUCCUACGGGAGGCAGCAGUGGGGAAUAUUGCACAAUGGGGGGAACCCUGAUGCAGCAACGCCGCGUGAGUGAAGAAGGCAUUCGUGUCGUAAAACUCUGUAGUAGGGGAAGAAAGAAAUGACAGUACCCUAAAAGAAAGCCCCGGCUAACUACGUGCCAGCAGCCGCGGUAAUACGUAGGGGGCAAGCGUUAUCCGGAAUAACUGGGCGUAAAGGGUGCGCAGGUGGUUUAACAAGUUAGUGGUGAAAGGCAUAGGCUCAACCAAUGUAAGCCAUUAAAACUGUUUAACUUGAGUGCAGGAGAGGAAAGUGGAAUUCCUAGUGUAGCGGUGAAAUGCGUAGAUAUUAGGAGGAAUACCAGUGGCGAAGGCGACUUUCUGGACUGUAACUGACACUGAGGCACGAAAGCGUGGGGAGCAAACAGGAUUAGAUACCCUGGUAGUCCACGCCGUAAACGAUGAGUACUAGGUGUCGGGUGAAGAACUCGGUGCCGAAGUUAACACAUUAAGUACCCCGCCUGGGGAGUACGCUCGCAAGAGUAAAACUCAAA
rnacentral:rRNA from 1 species